ACAGCAGCCAAAACAUGGAGGUGUUUCUUUCCUUAGAGGCAUUGCAAGCACGCAACCUAGUUGCUGUUUCAUACUGGAAUUUCUGAACCUCAUAGAAAUUUCUGUUGAAGUGUUGUAUCAAGUUGCAUAUUCAUCAGAAAUGAGAAAUUCCUUUUGAUUUAUUAUUCCCUUGGAUGAUAUUCAAGGCGUGGGGUUCAAGUCCUCCUCAGUCCCGUGGCGUACAUAUACAAUACCAAAAGCUCAGUGAUGCUGCAUGAGAGCAUGGUGCGUGCUUACGGCGGCGUGGGUGUUCAUCCGCUCGUGACAUAAACUCUUCCAUUUACUCAGGGAUCUUCCCACUGUACCGGAUGCUGCCCACUAACGCAAGAAAGGCCCUGACAAUAAACAAAAACAAGACGCAGUGUGGGUGAAGUGACGAUUCUGCGACUGCCUCGAGAGCUAAACAUUAUUGUGGGUGAACUUCAAAACAAGGCCGAAACUCUGACAUACUCCAGCUGUCGUUGAGGUGGGGGGGAGGUCAAACCCGCUGACUGACAAGACCUGAAAUUCUGGUGCAAUCAGAUGGCUGCCUCGGAGGAAUGUCUGUCCAGACCCCAGGACUGAGGAUAAUUCUGAAAAAGUAGGCAUGACUUAUAGAGCAGCGGCUUGAUCCACAGAACCUGACAAGCUGUUCUCCCGUGGCCUGUAAAUACAGAACACUUGGCAGAUGUGAGGGCCUGUUCCUCUCAGACAUGGCUGCUGCUGCCGCUUCCUCACACCAAUCAAUAAAAUUGACCGGCUUACAGAUGCUCCACAUUCAGCCACGGCCACAACUAACAUCCUUUAGCAUCACUGGAGAUGUGUUUAUCUAGUCGCUUGCGUAGAAGGAAUGAGUAGGUUUUGUUUUUACUAUGCAGACUACAGAGGGACACAGAAGGAGAGGAGGAAGUUGUUGUUUAUGUAGUUCAAAGUAGCACUGUAAUGUUUUACUUACGUAGAACAGAUAAUGAAGAGUUCCUGGAAGAAAACAGAAAAAAACUGUAGGAGUAUUUUUCUUGUUCUGUCUAGUGUAUGUUUAUUUGUGUAACUCAUGUUCUCUGUUACGUUUAAAGUGAAUUUAAAAACCUGGAAAACUGAUGGGUAACUGAACAAAACAUGAGUCAAAGUGUAUUAUAACAUCUUUUGAUACUUUUUCACCUGUGUUUUCCAAACUUUUUACAGCAAUUAUAAGGAGAUAAGACUUUACCAGUCUAUGGUAAAAUCUAAAAUGGCAAAGUGACAAAAGCCUAGUUUUUCACUACAACUUUGAAGCUGUAAUAAUUGCCAGUAGAAACUGACUGUUUUAAAUUAGCAUAACAAUAAAAUAAAGUUUUUACUCAA